AAUAAAUGGUGUGCAUCUCGUCACAUAGUGAAGAUGCUGCGUGCAGGUGACACACUCGAGCGACACGUCCCAUGCCGAGAGUGCAAACUGCACUUUUAGAAGAGAAGACGGAUGGAUGAGCAGCGAGCAAGCGACCGUGCCGGGGUCACGGCCGCGGCCGCACUCCGUGAGCUCGUGAAAGACCAUGGGAGUGCAUCAGACACCAGCUGGCGGAAAUGGAAGCACACUAAAGUGAUCCUCUCGAGAGCUAAAAGCGAGGCCGACGACACUCUCGAUAUCUUUUCGCGCCGCCGUUGCUGAUGCUGCAGAAGAAACAGCAUUCGCAGCGAAAAUCUCGCGUCGCAAUCAGCCUUUUUCUUUCUCUUUCGCUCGCUCUUCGUCCCGAUUUAUCAAAUCCAAUAAAUAUUCACCAAACAACAUUUUUCUCGGAAAAUGCAGUUCUCUUCCUUUUCGCAAUAAUAAACGUAUAUAUGUAUAUCACCACGUUUGUUUGUUUGUUUAGCCAACAGGUGCAUGCCAUGAACAUAUCGCGAUUCGUGGGCGCCGAUAACAACAAUAAAUCUCGACGUUAUUUGCAUUAAAA